rnacentral:rRNA from 1 species
UACGUAGGGUGCGAGCGUUGUCCGGAAUUACUGGGCGUAAAGAGCUCGUAGGUGGUUUGUCGCGUUGUUCGUGAAAUCUCACGGCUUAACUGUGAGCGUGCGGGCGAUACGGGCAGACUAGAGUACUGCAGGGGAGACUGGAAUUCCUGGUGUAGCGGUGGAAUGCGCAGAUAUCAGGAGGAACACCGGUGGCGAAGGCGGGUCUUUGGGCAGUAACUGACGCUGAGGAGCGAAAGCGUGGGGAGCGAACAGG